CUGCCUCUGCCUCUGCCUCUGCCUCUGCCUCCUGGGUGCUGGGAUCAAGGGUGAGCGCCACCACCAUGCCUGGCUAUAGAGCAGUCUUUCUAACCAAGUGGAGAAAAGGAUGAGGGGCCUCAGUCUGGCUGCUAGGCCUUCACUCCUAUGAAGUGGUUCCUCAUAGGAAAUCUUACUGCUUGCAAACUCCUGUUGGUCAUUUCUUGAUUUGAGCUGUGCUCCUGGCUCUUUGGCCCUGAGUUAAACAAUCUGAGCUAGUAAAGGGUCAGUAGUCUCUCCCCUACUGCUCGGUGAGAAGCUCUUCAGGGCUAACUGAGCCCUGGUUAUCAGUCCCUCUGGGACGGGAGACAUGCCACUAAUGAGAAGGCACUAGUGUGGGUUACUCUUUGCCUACAGUUUAAGAGACCCGACUUUUCCGGAGGAAGGUCAGGGCUAUUGGAGAGCUGAUGACAAGACAGGAUCACCCAGGAGCAGGUCUGGGGUGAGGCUUGGGGGAACACUGAUGUGCAGGCAGGGUGAGGAGGUCUUUCUCAGAGUCAGAGGCCAUGUCCUCCUGAGAGAGUCUCCACCCAUGGCUGUGAGCCUUGUUCUCAGAACUUCUCAAGGGGCAUCUAAGAAUCAUAACAGAGGGCUGUGGAGGUAGCUCCGCCCAGCGUGCACAAGGUUCUGUCCCCAGUACUAAAAAGCAAAAGCCUAUGUCGCUUAGGCUCUUUGGCCUCAGCAAACAGACAUGGGUGUGCUCUGCAGAGAGCAGAAUGUGACAUGCUAGUGACAAAACUAAUUGGGCCAGUCUGUUGUCAAAGAAACAGCCUGUGGAAUGGCUCUGUGUGUACUGGCUGUGUUCUGUUUUUAUGGCGUGAACACUGACAGCUGGUAAUAAUCAAAGAAAAGGUUGGUAGUUAAAAGUGAAAUUUUAUUUUGCACAGAUGACUCCCGGUUGGGUGAGUGGAAGCGAGUAUUGCCCUGCCGCUUGAGGCCAAGCAGAAGCACCUGUGUCUGCCCUUCUGGCUCUGCUUGGCUCGGGGAUCUUGCCUUCAUCCCAUCUAGAACUCCGUGGGGAUGGGCUCUGAGAGUAGCGAGGCCCUAGUUCUGUGUGGUGAUUGCUGCUUACUGCAGAGUGUACAUCCGCCACUUAGAACCCUGCUGCACCCACCAGCAGAAGCUGUGGUGGUCAGGACAUUGCAUUUAAAAGAUGACCUGAUGUGCUUCUCCUCUGUGGUGUGUGCCGUGCACACACGCUCUCCUCAUCCAACGAGCCUGCCAGGUAAGGGCAAAGUAGCCGAGAUACCCUGAGUUUGAUUUUUUUGUCCCAUUAGACCUUUUAGCAAAGGGUGAAUGCUCAAGUUUAGUACCUUCUCCUGGGCUGAGACAGAGACCGAGGCCAGGUGCCCACAGAGAUGAUGGACAUGCUGAGUUGCCGAAGAAGGUCCACACUUGAUGCCAGUGAGCUGGGUAGAACAUUCCUGGUCCCUUUCCAGUGCCCUUACAGCUUUGCUAAGAGGUCUUGGCAGUGCUCUUGGGCACUGUGAGAAAUGGAAUCCGGGCCUGAAGAAGCAGAAGGAGGCUGAGUUUUCCUGUCUGCUUUUCCUGAUGCCAUAUUCUCAGGUUCUUGGGCACCUCUCCCAUGGGCUGUGGAGGACAGCAGAGAAGCUCUGAGGCAGACAGCUGCACCAAGGUGUCACCCUGCCCUCUUCACAGCAGGCAAGAAGGAGCCCUGCUUGAGUCUCAUGAUAACCCCUCCCUUGGUCCAGAGAGUACUUUGGCACUGUCUACCAUCCCCACCCAUCCCACCUCGUGAGUGCAGCCCUCUGCUCUGCUGACCUCCUCCUUCCUGCUGAGUUGGCCUGAGCCAUGCCUAGUAUGAAGGACACUGUACUGUAGAUUGUAAGCUGGUAUCAACCAAUAAAAACCAGUAUUUGACACCUCU